AGCCCUCAGAUCCGCGAUUUCAGUUCUCCGGCAGCUCGUGUUGAACAGUUCCAGCGUGGCAGGUACAAAACAUGGUGUUCUCCAAUGACCAGCGGUGCGUUUUCCCGACCAACGACCUCGAACCCCACGGCCAGCACCCCGAGCAGCAGCAAUCCACGACAAUUUCUUCGUUUCGACACGUUUUGACGUUGACCCACUCUUAUUCGGACCCAAAUCGGCGUUACCCAUCGCUCUUGGUGCCAAGACAGCCAGCCUAACGCUUUUCGAACUCGAAUUUGGGAGCCUGAAACCUCCUUGGCGUCUACCCAUUUCAAACCCAAGUUGUUUUAGUGAGAGUUAGAAGUGUUCAACGAGCUUAUGAGCUUUAGGACACUUGUUGGUAAGUAGCACGGGGGUGGGUGUGUGUGUUGGUGUUUAUUAUUUAGUUGUCAAUGUACUACUUAUGAUGUUUGAAAAUGGUUCUGAUACAAUGUUGUGCGGUGUAACUCUCGUUUAUGUUGGUUUGUAUGCCUAGGUAGUGUUGAAUGUUCGUUGGUGAUAAUAGUAGAAACUUUGUAUUGUUGA